UCAAAGACCAGCCUAGCAAGAGUGUGGUGACCAUGACAGAUCAGGAGGCUACAGGGCAGACUUCGUGCUACCAAGCACUUCCUCAAACCAAACCAUAGAACUGAAGUGUCGAGGAUUUGGAGGUCACUGAGGUAAAAUCCAUACCAGGGGUGUGACUCCCUUUGUUGGUGUUUCCAGUAAGCAGUGCCUCAAUCCAGCCUCUCUCCUUGGACGCCACCAACCGGCUGCUUCUUGCCACGAACCCAGGCAGCCCACGUGAGAUUGGGUACAGAGCAAGUCUGACUUUGCACCAGCUCUGAUGGCGAAGACCCCUCUGGGGACCUCCUACCCACGCCCACUCUCAGUUCUGCCUCCCCGGAGCCAUUUGAGGAAUUCUGGAGGAAUUUCCAAGAUGGCGGUCUUUGAAUAUGUCAUGAGAUUUUACCGCGGUUCUGUUCCCUUGCUCCAUCCCAAAGGGGGAAGGCAGCGUAGCAUAGUGGUUAUGAGUCCUGCAUCUGGAACCAAAUGGCUCAGGUUCAAACGUGACCCGCAGCCAGAUCUCAGGGGUCUCGAGUUUCCCCCCGACUCGGGGAGCACAGCCACCUGCUUGCCUAGACGCCCAUCCUCCUCAUUAGCUUGGGCUUCAAAUCUUUUCUGCUGAGCUGUGCAGGAUGAACUCAGCUGCUCCAAUGGGCUUCCUGGCAAACCAACAAAGACACACCACCGGCCUCCCCACCGCAGUCAAUGGCACCGCCGACGCCCAGUGCUCACAAGCUUGGGAAGCUGCCUCGACCUUUCCCUCUGCUGUAUUCAGUCAAAUCCAGUGGAAUUCCUUUGACACCGCCUCAUCGCUGUCAGUCAAGGAGGCUCUCAUGGUACUGGCUUUUAAUUCGACUGCUUCAGCCCCAGGACCUUUGCACAUGCUGCUCCAGGCCACUUUGACCCACAAACUGCCUUCUCUGAAGACUCCAGUCUCUGGGCCUUUGAGGCCUCCACGCUGAUGUAUUUGGACGUCUCGGGGCCGUCUGUUACCGGAGGCCACUCCAGCCCCCCGAAGGCACGUCGGUUCCAUCAGCAGCAGCCCCCGCCCCGCGGCUGCCCAUGGAGCCGUUUGAAGUGGGUCCCGGUGGUGUUUACUCGCCUUCGUAUGGGGAAAUCGAGGCCCAGAGAAGCUACACAUGCAAAGACCUUAGAAGAGUGCUCGACACCUAAGCUCGCUGUUCACAUGUAAUUGGUGGUAUGUUGGUGAGCGCUGAGGAUGCGUGUCAACCUCUUCAACCCAUAGUACGAAAGUCGCGUGUUGCAGGUUGAGUUGCCUGGGAUUCAUGUGCAGGUGUCUCAUCCUUAGUUCCAGGUCCUGUUGCCAGCUCCAACCCUCUCUUGUCACCAACUACUGCUGGGGAAACCCAAAGCCUUUCCAGAUUCAACCCAAUGGUGCCAACCAAAGCAAGAGGGAUGACAGGUGUGGAAUUGACGGCAAUGGCAGCAGCAAGAGCAGCAUCAAUGAGAACCUGAGAGAAGCAUGAAUGGCAGAGUGAGGAUCCCUAUGACGGCAGCAAUAGUGGCAAGAUCAGAAAGGACAGCUGUACUGGGAGCAUCAUGGAGAGAGUCUCCUAGGAAUAGGUCAG
ensembl:lncRNA